CACCUCUCUCUGCCAAACAAUCAAUAUAAAUAAUAAUCAUAAUAAUAUGCCCAUAUAAACCAACAGGCAGAUCUGCGAGGCGUUGCCCGUGACUUUGAAAGGGGCAGGCGACGCGUUUGUGGCAAGGGCAAGUCAAGCGUUGCACAAAGGAACGCUGAAUGUUAAGGCGUUUACUUCGCACAACAGGCGCAGGCAGAGGCAGAGGCAGAGGCAGAGGCAAAUGUUGAGCCUGUCAGCUGUGACGUCAGCGACGUUUCUUCUAAUCGAGAUGCUGCGAGGACAACCCCUAAUUGAGGUUGAGUCUGCGCACCCCAAACCCGGAAAAAAAAGCGUGGAAGUCUGCGCGCAAAAGUGCAGCUGAGGAUUUUGCGCUGUGACGCAAUCGUGGGAAAACAAAAAAUCAAAGCAGCAGCAACCCUAGCCGAAAAGCCAUGACAACCCUUACACAGAGCGAAAGAGAGGGAGAGGGAGAGGGAGAGCAGCAACAGCUGUUCCCUGGUCUGGUCAAGAUUUGCUUGUGGUCGGUCCGGUCCUGCCGCUGUUUGGUGAUGGCCUAGGAUGAUUGGAUGUCAACGAGUGGCGUACCGCGAAGCUACUACGCAGAUACAAAUGUAUCUGUAGCGGCAAAUCAGUCCAAUUAAAAAUAAUAAACGUGCAAAAGCACGGCAGCAGCUUGUUAGUGGGAGAUGGCAGAUUGCCGCGCGAAAACAAUAGAGGCAGCUCCUCCUGCUGGCCAGCCGCUGGGCGCGUGGGAAAGUCGCAACAACAAAAAAAUGUUACAAAAAUUCUCGGCACCUGCUGCUGCGUUUUCUGGCCACUUUUGCGUCUAUUUUGAGUGAUUUUUCCUGCGCUUUGGUGGCUUCAAGUGGAAUUCCAACAGCAGAGAGAGAGCGAGCGAGCGAGACUGGCAAUUGACAAUGCCAUUUGGCAGGAGCUCAUUAAGCUCCAUUUAUAUGCAACAUGUGAGCCAUGACUGGUCCAAAAGGAGUCAAUGGUUGACAAGUUGUUGUCGCUGUCAAAUGAUUUACUAACCCGCCCGAGGUUGGGCAGCCUCAGCAGCAUGCCGCGAAUUGAAAGGAAAAACUGACAGAAAUCGGAGCAAGCAAAGGCCUGGAUCAGGGCUAUUCAAUAACAAAUGAAAGCUGAUGGUUGACACCAAACAAAUCUGCAUGGCUCCAGGAACCCACCUCAGAUGUGCCCAGAAAUGAUCUAAGAAUUUCACAACAAAUAAACUGCAGC
rnacentral:lncRNA from 1 species